GGAUAGGGUCAUGGUCACAGCAAAGGAUGCGGCAAUCAGGGCCGUGAUCGCUGCCAGAUUUGCCAUUAUGAUGGCCACACUAUAGAUCAAUGCCAUAGCCGCUUUGAUCCUAACUUCCAAUCAUACCUAUAUGGUUGUGGAGCACCACCUCCGAGCACCUACACUGUCACCAAUGGUCUUCUACCAACAUCAUCUGUCACUGCCAUGCAGCACUAUCAUGAUGGCGGCAUCCAAGUAGACUCCAGUAUGUGGUAUCC
rnacentral:lncRNA from 1 species